GCUACUGUGGCUCAGUUGGUAGAGCAGCGCAUUCGUAAUGCGCAGGUCGUCGGUUCGAGUCCGACCAGUAGCUCCA
rnacentral:tRNA from 5 species